GGCGAGUAGCUCAGUUGGAUAGAGCGACGGAAGUAUAUCCUUUUUCACAAACUUACCCUUCGGGGACGGAGAAUUAGGUUUAUCGUCUUAAUCCGUGCGUCGCAGGUUCAAGUCCUGCCUCGCCACCA
rnacentral:tRNA from 1 species